GACGAACGCUGGCGGCGUGCUUAACACAUGCAAGUCGAACGGUGAAGCGCCUUCCUUUUUGGUGGGUGUGGAUGAGUGGCGAACGGGUGAGUAACACGUGAGUAACCUGCCCCCUUCUUCUGGAUAACCGCAUGAAAGUGUGGCUAAUACGGGAUAUUCUGGGUCUGUCGCAUGAUGGGUCUGGGAAAGAUAUUGUUUCGGUGGGGGAUGGGCUCGCGGCCUAUCAGCUUGUUGGUGGGGUGAUGGCCUACCAAGGCGGUGACGGGUAGCCGGCCUGAGAGGGUGGACGGUCACACUGGAACUGAGACACGGCCCAGACUCCUACGGGAGGCAGCAGUGGGGAAUAUUGCACAAUGGGCGCAAGCCUGAUGCAGCGACGCCGCGUGAGGGAUGGAGGCCUUCGGGUUGUGAACCUCUUUCGCCAGUGAAGCAGGCCUGCCUCGUUUGUGGGUGGGUUGACGGUAGCUGGAUAAGAAGCGCCGGCUAACUACGUG
rnacentral:rRNA from 1 species